AGUGAACGCUGGCGGUAGGCCUAACACAUGCAAGUCGAACGGCAGCACAGUAAGAGCUUGCUCUUACGGGUGGCGAGUGGCGGACGGGUGAGGAAUACAUCGGAAUCUACUUUUUCGUGGGGGAUAACGUAGGGAAACUUACGCUAAUACCGCAUACGACCUACGGGUGAAAGCAGGGGAUCUUCGGACCUUGCGCGAUUGAAUGAGCCGAUGUCGGAUUAGCUAGUUGGCGGGGUAAAGGCCCACCAAGGCGACGAUCCGUAGCUGGUCUGAGAGGAUGAUCGGCCACACUGGAACUGAGACACGGUCCAGACUCCUACGGGAGGCAGCAGUGGGGAAUAUUGGACAAUGGGCGCAAGCCUGAUCCAGCCAAACCGCGUGAGUGAAGAAGGCCUUCGGGUUGUAAAGCCCUUUUGUUGGGAAAGAAAAGCAGCAGGUUAAUACCCCGCUGUUCUGACGGUACCCAAAGAAUAAGCACCGGCUAACUUCGUG
rnacentral:rRNA from 1 species